CCCCAAACUACCACUGUGUGUCCACCAUUGGACAAUGGACAAACCACCACUGUGUUGUCCAUGUAUGGCUAUCGCAUUUUACAUUGUUCCAGAUAUUCCUCCUGGAAAGAAGGCUCAAGGGAGAAGAUAAGAUGACUACCUCCAGGCACGGUUGCUGUACCUUUAGCAAAAGCUCUGAUGCAGGAAGCCCCUUAGGCUGUUCUCAGCAAGGAGCAGUUUUUCCCUGGAGCUAGAUGUGUAUCAAUGCCUGAUUCCAGCACAUACCCUGAAGGAAAGAUCUCUCUUUUACAAAUGAUUUCACUUUGUGAUACAGAGGACAUGGGUCUUUAAGAUCCAGUGGGAAAUUGCAGAAACAAUGUGGUAGAGUGGAAAGAACACUAGCUUUGGAGCCAGACAGGAUUGGAUUCUAAACCUGCCUCAACUGCUUACCUUGACAGAAUACUAAUUGCAUGGCCUCAGGCAAGUACUUAACCUCUUCACCCUAACUUUCUACUUCUGUAAAUUAUGAUUCCUCAAAGGGUUGUUUGUGAGUAAUUUACUUCUCAUUUUGGUUCAGUUAUUCACUCAGAGCAUGUAGAGUAUGUAAUGCUAACUUCUAUUUUAUUUUUCAGAUAUUUUCUCAAGUAUAAGCUCUUUCACCGAAGGCUUUGUUGAAAAAAAAAAAUUGAAGAAAAUCUAUUGACCUAAAUGUAGCAAUCCACAAAAUAUUUUAUUUAACUUGGAUUCUUAAAGACUCAGUUUCGAUUUUACUUUAAAAAUAUUUUACAGGUUGGGAAAAAAGGGCAAAGAAAAUUUUACACAAAGCUAAAGCAGUGCUUAAUUUUUUUGGUAUGUUUUUUCACAUUAUUGUAUAAAAAUUGAAGAGGUAGAAAAUAGGAGCCUUUUGCUGUAAGGUAAGUGAUAAACUUUUUUUAAUUUUAUAAUUUUAAUUUUCUACUUCAACUUGAAUCACAGAACUCAAUAUAUUCUUUAUAGUUAUAAAAGAGCAUUUAAUGAGCAACAGUUUCC
rnacentral:lncRNA from 1 species